UCAUUAGAUGGCCGAAAGUAAGCAAUGGAAUUUUAAAUCAUUUAAUAAUAUAUUAACGAAUAUUUCUAAUGAA
rnacentral:tRNA from 1 species